rnacentral:rRNA from 1 species
GACGAACGCUGGCGGCGUGCUUAACACAUGCAAGUCGAACGGAAAGGCCCUGCUUUUGUGGGGUGCUCGAGUGGCGAACGGGUGAGUAACACGUGAGUAACCUGCCCUUGACUUUGGGAUAACUUCAGGAAACUUGGGCUAAUACCGGAUAGGAGCUCCUGCUGCAUGGUGGGGGUUGGAAAGUUUCGGCGGUUGGGGAUGGACUCGCGGCUUAUCAGCUUGUUGGUGGGGUAGUGGCUUACCAAGGCUUUGACGGGUAGCCGGCCUGAGAGGGUGACCGGCCACAAUGGGACUGAGAGACGGACCAGACUGCUACGGGAGGCAGCAGGGGGGAAUAUGGCACAAUGGGCGGAAGCCUGAUGCAGCAACGCCGCGUGCGGGAUGACGGCCUUCGGGUUGUAAACCGCUUUCGCCUGUGACGAAGCGUGAGUGACGGUAAUGGGUAAAGAAGCACCGGCUAACUACGUG